UACGUAGGGUGCGCGCGUUAAUCGGAAUUACUGGGCGUAAAGCGUGCGUAGGCGGUUCGUUAAGUCAGUUGUGAAAGCCCCGGGCUCAACCUGGGAAUUGCGGUUGAAACUGGCGAACUAGAAUCUGGCAGAGGGGGGUGGAAUUCCACGUGUAGCAGUGAAAUGCGUAGAGAUGUGGAGGAACACCGAUGGCGAAGGCAGCCCCCUGGGCUGAGAUUGACGCUCAGGCACGAAAGCGUGGGGAGCAAACAGG
rnacentral:rRNA from 1 species